rfam:Trichinella sp. T6 scaffold594s, whole genome shotgun sequence.
UGAAAGGGCUUAAGCUGUUUACUUUAUGUAAUAGGCAUUAAAUUAUUGUUUAAUGAAGAUCGCUAUCAAGAGAUCUCUUAAGCAUAAUUUUUUGUGAAGGAGCAGUUGAGUUUAAAACUUGGCGCUCCG